CUGAGCUCGACCGACUGCGGUAGCUUGCUCCCUUAGAGUCAGCGGCGGACGGGUGAGUAACACGUGGGUAACCUGCCUGUAAGACUGGGAUAACUCCGGGAAACCGGGGCUAAUACCGGAUGCUUGAUUGAACCGCAUGGUUCAAUUCUAAAAGGGGGCUUUUAGCUACCACUUUCAGAUGGACCCGCGGCGCAUUAACUAGUUGGGGAGGUAACGGCUCACCCAGGGGACCAUGCGUAACCCAACUGAAAGGGUGAUCGGCCACCCUGGGACUGAAACACGGCCCAAACUCCUACGGGAGGGAGCAGUAGGGAAUCUUCCGCAAUGGACGAAAGUCUGACGGAACAACCCCCCGUGAGUGAUGAAGGGUUUCGGAUCGUAAAACUCUGUUGUUAGGGAAGAACAAGUACCGUUCGAAUAAGGCGGUACCUUGACGGUACCUAACCAGAAAGCCACGGCUAACUACGUGCCAGCAGCCGCGGUAAUACGUAGGUGGCAAGCGUUGUCCGGAAUUAUUGGGCGUAAAGCGCGCGCAAGCGGUUUCUUAAGUCUGAUGUGAAAGCCCCCGGCUCAACCGGGGAGGGUCAUUGGAAACUGGGGAACUUGAGUGCAGAAGAAGAGAGUGGAAUUCCACGUGUAGCGGUGAAAUGCGUAGAGAUGUGGAGGAACACCAGUGGCGAAAGCGACUCUCUGGUCUGUAACUGACGCUGAAGCGCGAAAGCGUGGGGAGCGAACAGAUUAGAUACCCUGGUAGUCCACGCCGUAAACGAUGAGUGCUAAGUGUUAGAGGUUUCCGCCCUUUAGUGCUGCAGCAACGCCAUAAGCACUCCGCCUGGGGAGUACGUCGCAGACUGAAACUCAAGAUGACGGGGCCGCACAGCGUGAGCAUGUGUAUCGAGCACGCGAGACUACAGUCUGACAUCUCUGA
rnacentral:rRNA from 1 species